rnacentral:lncRNA from 1 species
GCGCCCCUCCAGAUAAAUUUUCAAGUAAAUUUAUGUAUGAUCGGAAUCGUAUUAAACUUAUAGAUCAAUACUGGGAACAUUGACAUCUUUACUAUGUUGAGUCUUCCAGUCCAUAAACAUGGUACCUCUUGCAAUUUAGUUAAAUAUUCCUUGGCUUCUAUCACCAGUGUUUUGUAAAUUUAAGUAUUUGGAUGUUGCAUGUGUUCUAUUAGAUUUAUACCUGGGUAUUUUAUCUUCUUUUUGAGCACUCAUGAACAACACUGUACUUUUCCUUUCAUUUUCUACAUGCUCAUUGCUAGUUUACAAGUAAGAUUGUGUGUGUAGGUGUGUAUAUGUGUGUGUACGCGUAUGUGUUUAUGUAUGUAUGUAUAUGUGUUGGUAUAUAUGUGUGUAUGUGUGAGUGUGUGUAUGUGUGUGCAUGCAUGUGUGUGUAAGUGUGUGUAUGUAUGUAUGUGUGUAUAUGUAUGUAUGUGUGUGUGUAUCGAUCUUUAUUCCUGUGACUUGUUAAAUUCAUUUACCAGUUCUAGCAGUUUGGUAAAAAUUUUUUGAUAGAUUCCUUGGGAUUUUCUACACAAUUAUGUUGCCUGCACAAAGGCACAGUUUUAUUUUUUCCUUCCUAAUCUGCGUGCUUUAGUGGUGUCCCGGAACCCUAGGAGCCCCUGGAAGGUCUUAAACACUCUGAUGACCCUGUGGAGCAUGUAGCAUCGUGGACCCACUGUUUUCCGGCAUUUCUGCUUUUAAAAGAGAAGCCAGGAGUGAAAUGGCUCAUGUGUACAUGUAGGCAACAACCUCCACUUAAAUAAAUAUUGUGAUCCAAGCAAAACCUAUUCAUAAGUUCAUGCGACUCUCGGAUGCAGUCUGUGACCGGUGAGUAAAGCAGAGAAAGUUCAGAGCAUCGUUGUGUCUGCCUUGUACUUACACUGGGGCCACAUGGUGCCCCCAGCAGACUUGGGACCUGACCUGUCCAGUGCACAGAUGGACUCACAGUAUCGUGGUGUGGACCUUCCUUGGGGCAGGUCCAAGUCUGCUCCCUGGCCUUAUGACUGGGGGCCGGGGGCCUCAGCCCUUCUGGGCCCCUCGUUCUUUAAUCUGAUGUGAAGGCACUAUAUUAAGAUUCUUCCAGGUGGCAGCUUUAAACUGGGACUGUAAAUUUCUUGACACUCCUGUUAUUGAGAGUUGAGGGUGUGUCCCCUCCCCUUGAGUCUGGGUGGGCCAGGGCUGUGAGGUCAGUAGCUUAGAGCAGAUUCCCAACUUUUCCCCGUAAUUAUCCUCCUAAGGAGGCUGUUUAGUAAUUUUCUUUUAUUAGAACCCGCCCCCCCCCCCCCCCCGCCAUGGGUAUGAAAUUUUAAUACCAAAGAUAUGCUAUACGCCUAUGUUCUAUAUAUCGAUCAGUCGAUCCAUCUAUCAACUGAUCAUCUAUGUUUUGUAUAUAAAAAUAAUUUUUUGGUAUAAAAACAGCAUUUUUUUUACCCCCAAAAAACAGUGUUCAUCGCCAUCGGACAUCAGAAUGCAUGGAUAGAGUAUGGUGACAGUGACCCUGUGUGACUUCUGAGGCCAGGCCCAAAGGAACCCUGGAGCUCCAUCCUCCAUUUCUUGAAAUGUUUGUUUUGGACACUCUCCUUCUCAGAACCCAGGUCCACAUGGAGAGGCCUCCUGUAGGAUCUCAGGUCAACUAUCAAGAUUGAGAUCAACCUGGCACAUGCUCUAGACACGCAGAAAAGAAGCUUCCAGAUGACAGUAGCACCCAGCCAUUUAGGUUCCCCCCCACCCCCCCNGCCCCCAGCCAUUUAGGUCCCCCCCCCCCCCCCCGCCUCCACUGCCAUUAUGUCUUCCCAGCUGAAGCCCCAGACUUUUUGGAGCAGAGACAGGCCAUCCC